GACGAACGCCGUUGGCGUGCCUAAUACAUGCAAGUCGAACGCUGCUUAAGAAGAAACUUCGGUUUUUUCUUAAGCGGAGUGGCGGACGGGUGAGUAACACGUGGGGAACCUAUCCAUCAGCGGGGGAUAACACUUGGAAACAGGUGCUAAUACCGCAUACGGCUUUUUUUCACCUGAAAGAAAGCUCAAAGGCGCUUUACAGCGUCACUGAUGGCUGGCCCCGCGGUGCAUUAGCCAGUUGGUGAGGUAACGGCUCACCAAAGCAACGAUGCAUAGCCGACCUGAGAGGGUGAUCGGCCACACUGGGACUGAGACACGGCCCAGACUCCUACGGGAGGCAGCAGUAGGGAAUCUUCGGCAAUGGACGCAAGUCUGACCGAGCAACGCCGCGUGAGUGAAGAAGGUUUUCGGAUCGUAAAGCUCUGUUGUCAGCAAAGAACAGGAGAAAGAGGCAAUGCUUUUUCUAUGACGGUAGCUGACCAGAAAGCCACGGCUAACUACGUGCCAGCAGCCGCGGUAAUACGUAGGUGGCAAGCGUUGUCCGGAUCUAUUGGGCGUAAAGCGAGCGCAGGCGGUGAUUUAAGUCUGAUGUGAAAGCCCCCAGCUCAACUGGGGAGGGUCAUUGGAAACUGGAUCACUUGAGUGCAGAAGAGGAGAGUGGAAUUCCAUGUGUAGCGGUGAAAUGCGUAGAUAUAUGGAGGAACACCAGUGGCGAAGGCGGCUCUCUGGUCUGUAACUGACGCUGAGACUCGAAAGCGUGGGUAGCAAACAGGAUUAGAUACCCUGGUAGUCCACGCCGUAAACGAUGAGUGCUAAGUGUUGGAGGGUUUCCGCCCUUCAGUGCUGCAGUUAACGCAUUAAGCACUCCGCCUGGGGAGUACGACCGCAAGGUUGAAACUCAAAGGAAUUGACGGGGGCCCGCACAAG
rnacentral:rRNA from 1 species